rnacentral:rRNA from 1 species
GGUUCGAUUCCGGAGAGGGAGCAUGAGAAACGGCUACCACAUCUAAGGAAGGCAGCAGGCGCGCAAAUUACCCAAUCCCGACACGGGGAGGUAGUGACAAUAAAUAACAAUACGGGGCUCUUUAGGAUCUCGUAAUUGGAAUGAGUACAAUUUAAAUCUCUUAACGAGGAACAAUUGGAGGGCAAGUCUGGUGCCAGCAGCCGCGGUAAUUCCAGCUCCAAUAGCGUAUAUUAAAGUUGUUGCAGUUAAAAAGCUCGUAGUUGAAUUUCGGGGUUAGUAGGUUGGUCACGCCUCUGGUAUGUACUGGUCUCACUGAUUCCUCCUUCCUUAUGAACCGUAAUGCCAUUAAUUUGGUGUUGCGGGGAAUUUGGACUGUUACUUUGAAAAAAUUAGAGUGUUUAAAGCAAGCUAACGCUUGAAUACAUUAGCAUGGAAUAAUGAAAUAGGACGUUCGAUCUUAUUUUGUUGGUUUCUAGGAUUGACGUAAUGAUUAAUAGGGAUAGUUGGGGGCAUUAGUAUUCAAUUGUCAGAGGUAAAAUUCUUGGAUUUAUUGAAGACUAACUACUGCGAAAGCAUUUGCCAAGGAUGUUUUCAUUAAUCAAGAACGAAAGUUAGGGGAUCGAAGACGAUCAGAUACCGUCGUAGUCUUAACCAUAAACUAUGCCGACUAGGGAUCGGAUGAUGUUAAUUUUUUAAUGACUCAUUCGGCGCCU